UCACACUCACACAUGGAAACUUAAGAGCUGGCAUACAUUCAUCUCACAUUCAUCACAAGAUACAUAAGAAAAAGAAAAACAAUACAGGAUAUCAGAGACCUUGGAGCAUGUCACCAAGGGAGAGAUCAUAUGGGAAAUGGAAAGAGGUGAACAGAGAGAUGUUUAUAGAUCCCGCACCUGACUGCUCUCAGUGCCAGCCAGUGAAAAUUUGCCUCUGGCAGCCAUUCUUCCCCAGUGAUAGUUUCAAACGCCUCAAGACGAGCAACCACACUGACUGUCAGAUUCCGUUGAGUGGCCGACAUCAGCAGCACAACAAAAGAUCUUUUAUUCUGAACAGAAAAAAAUGUGCAACAUUAUUGAGCUGGAGUUGAUACAUAGGUUGGAAGGGGAGGGCUGGAAUCCAAACUUGUUCCCAAAUAACAGAGUUGCUCUACAACUCAUCCAUGGUUUUCUGACAUCCUGAUAUCCUCAAAUAACAACAAUAAAGCUUCUGUCUCCUUUCAA